GUGCGGCGUGCUCUAUAUCGUCCUAUAUCUACUAAGAGCGCGUCAAUUGCAUCCCGCGUCAGACGUCAAGCCAUGCUCUCUGUUACUUCAUUGGGAUACCUCUGCACCUUCGCGCCAAAGGGACAGAGAUCCAACAAGGAUGAGCUUCUACUUACGGAAUAAGAAUUACGGCCACAUGCUUGAAGAAAUUUGACAAGCGCCUGAAGAGAUUUAAGAAUAUAUGGUCGAGAAUGGGCAACUGAACUUUAUGGAUUUUACACAUUGGAAUGCAAAUAUGCAAGCGUGAGCAACGAUUCAACGGGGGCAUGUGUUCAAAGGCUGGCACCAUUAGAGAUAAACACAUUGACAUUCACAAGCAACAUGCUCCUUUGUGCAUUUUUGUUUUGUUUUUGUAUGAACAAUGGAUAACUAUCUUUUUUUUCUUCCCUGUAGACAGAUAUUUCAUUUGACCCUUUUCCUAAUAUCAUAAGUUGUGUCUUCCAGCAACUUCAAAGAUGAAUAAGAGCUCUCCUAUUGUUUUUCUGCAUGUGAAACAAUACAGUGAAUUGUUUUCAACAGACUGUAAUGUAUGAUCACAUGAAACCAUUAUCUAAUUAUUUCAUACAUUUCCUUUUUGAUUGUUGAACAAUAUAGUAAGUUUAUAAACAUAACUUCCAUUGUUUUGU